GACGAACGCUGGCGGCGUGCCUAAUACAUGCAAGUCGAACGCUUCUUUCCUCCCGAGUGCUUGCACUCAAUUGGAAAGCGGAGUGGCGGACGGGUGAGUAACACGUGGGUAACCUACCCAUCAGAGGGGGAUAACACUUGGAAACAGGUGCUAAUACCGCAUAACAGUUUAUGCCGCAUGGCAUAAGAGUGAAAGGCGCUUUCGGGUGUCGCUGAUGGAUGGACCCGCGGUGAAUUAGCUAGUUGGUGAGGUAACGGCUCACCAAGGCCACGAUGCAUAGCCGACCUGAGAGGGUGAUCGGCCACACUGGGACUGAGACACGGCCCAGACUCCUACGGGAGGCAGCAGUAGGGAAUCUUCGGCAAUGGACGAAAGUCUGACCGAGCAACGCCGCGUGAGUGAAGAAGGUUUUCGGAUCGUAAAACUCUGUUGUUAGAGAAGAACAAGGACGUUAGUAACUGAACGUCCCCUGACGGUAUCUAACCAGAAAGCCACGGCUAACUACGUG
rnacentral:rRNA from 1 species